rfam:Lachnospiraceae bacterium 28-4 genomic scaffold acPFn-supercont1.4, whole genome shotgun sequence.
UGAUAGCUGUGAAGCGUGAGGUUGCUGCCCAGGAGGCAGGUUUUUCCGUGGAGCGAAUGUCAAGAAGGCCGGUAAACGGCUGAAGGAAACUGACGACAA